UAUAUCUUUGUCAAGUUUUUUUUUAAUCUUUUUAAUUCAAUCGUUCUUAAUUCAAACGUUCAAAUUUUAAUAUUUUCACUUUAUUUAAGCUUUUAAUAAAAAUAUUAUUGUAUGUAUAAGCUUAUGAUUCUAGUGAUGGCUGCAAGCUGCAUUGUGGCUGAUAAUCGUAGGCGUUUAGCACCAUCAACAACGACAACGACAACAGAAAAAGUUAUUGAAGUUUCCAGUGAGAAAUGUGAUAUAUUGAAAAAUGAUCACUGUGGCAGCGUACCUUCUGCUAAAGGCCCCGGUUUUCCAGCCGUCGUCACUGGAGGCCUAGGUGUCGCCCAUCAUAAGCCUAGUGGCUAAAUGAAGACUUGUUUCCAUUUUCAAAAAAAAAAGAUAAAAUGAAAUUUCCGAUUAAAAUGUUAAUAUUAUUACUACAAUUUAGUUUAAUUGUACGAAGUUUUCACAGAUACGGAUUAAAAGUUGGUGACAAUA